UACGGAGGGUGCAAGCGUUAAUCGGAAUUACUGGGCGUAAAGGGUGCGUAGGUGGUUAUAUAAGUUAUCUGUGAAAUCCCUGGGCUCAACCUGGGAAGGUCAGAUAAGACUGUGUGACUCGAGUAUGGGAGAGGGUAGUGGAAUUUCCGGUGUAGCGGUGAAAUGCGUAGAGAUCGGAAGGAACACCAGUGGCGAAGGCGGCUACCUGGCCUAAUACUGACACUGAGGCACGAAAGCGUGGGGAGCAAACAGG
rnacentral:rRNA from 1 species